UGGCGACCGGCGCACGGGUGCGUAACGCGUAUGCAACCUACCUUUAACAGGGGGAUAACACUGAGAAAUUGGUACUAAUACCCCAUAAUAUCAUAGAAGGCAUCUUUUAUGGUUGAAAAUUCCGAUGGUUAGAGAUGGGCAUGCGUUGUAUUAGCUAGUUGGCGGGGUAACGGCCCACCAAAGCGACGAUGGAUAGGGGUUCUGAGAGGAAGGUCCCCCACAUUGGAACUGAGACACGGUCCAA
rnacentral:rRNA from 1 species